UGCCAGCAGCCGCGGUAAUACGAAGGGACCUAGCGUAGUUCGGAGUUACUGGGCUUAAAGAGUUCGUAGGUGGCAUUAAGGUUGUUUAAAAUAAAAUCUAAAAGCUUAACUUUUAGUGAUUUAAAAACACUUUUGCUUGAGUAUAAAAGAAGAUUAUGGAAUUUCAAAAGGAUAGGUAAAAUUUGAGGAGUUUUGAAGGAACAUCUACAGCGAAAGCAAUAAUCUAGUUUAUUUAAUACUGACGCUGAGGAACGAAAGAAUAGGUAGCAAACAGGAUUAGAUA
rnacentral:rRNA from 1 species